GACGAACGCUGGCGGCGUGCCUAACACAUGCAAGUCGAGCGGAAAGACGCCGCUGUGGCUCCUCUAGUGGCGAAGGCGGGAGUAUCACGUGCAUAACGUUCCCUUGACUUCGGGACUACUUUAGGUAACGGGGGCCAAUUCCGGAAAGGGAUCCUUGCUUGAAGUUGGGGGUUCAAAAGCGUACGCGGUUUUUGCUGGACCCGGGUCGUAUUUGCUAGUUGGUGGGGUAAUGGCUUACCAAGGCGACGAUCCGUAGCCGACCUGAGAGGCCGACCGGGCACACUGGAACUGAGACGCGGUCCAGACUCCUACGGGAGGCAGCAGUAGGGAAUGGUGGCCAAUGGGCGAAAGCCUGACCGAGCAACGCCGCGUGGGUGAAGAAGGUCUUCGGAUGGUAAAACUCUGUUAGUGGGGAAGAACGAUUGCAGCAGGAGCGAUGCUUGUCUUGACGGUACCUAAAGAAAAAGCACCGGCUAACUACGUG
rnacentral:rRNA from 1 species